rnacentral:rRNA from 1 species
GACGAACGCUGGCGGCGUGCUUAACACGUGCAAGUCGAACGAUGAAGCUCAGCUUGCUGGGUGGAUUAGUGGCGAACGGGUGAGUAACACGUGGGCAACCUGCCCCAAACUCUGGGAUAACUCCUCGAAAGAGGUGCUAAUACCGGAUACGAACUAGACAGACAUCAGUACCAGUUGGAAAGUUUUUAGGUUUGUGAUGGGCCAGCGGCCUAUCAGCUUGUUGGUGCGGUAACGGCUCACCAAGGCUACGACGGGUAACCGGCCUGAGAGGGCGACCGGUCACACUGGGACUGAGACACGGCCCAGACUCCUACGGGAGGCAGCAGGUUGGAAUAUUGCGCAAUGGGCGAAAGCCUGACGCAGCGACGCCGCGUGAGGGAUGAAGGUCUUCGGAGCGUAAACCUCUUUCAGUAGGGACGAAGCGAAAGUGACGGUACCUAAGAAGAAGCACCGGCUAACUACGUGCCAGCAGCCGCAGUAA